rnacentral:rRNA from 1 species
UACGUAGGGUGCAGGCGUUAAUCGGAAUUACUGGGCGUAAAGCGUGCGCAGGCGGUUUGCUAAGACAGGUGUGAAAUCCCCCGGGCUUAACCUGGGAACUGCGCUUGUAACUGGCAAGCUAGAGUGUGGCAGAGGGGGGGUGGAAUUCCACGUGUAGCAGUGAAAUGCGUAGAGAUGUGGAGGAACACCGAUGGCGAAGGCAGCCCCCUGGGCUAACACUGACGCUCAGGCACGAAAGCGUGGGGAGCAAACAGGG